CCUACGGGUGGCUGCAGUGGGGAAUAUUGGACAAUGGGCGAAAGCCUGAUCCAGCAAUGCCGCGUGAGUGAUGAAGGCCUUCGGGUUGUAAAGCUCUUUUACCAGGGAUGAUAAUGCCAGUACCUGGAGCAUACGCUCCGGCUAACUCCGUGCCAGCAGCCGCGGUACUACGGAGGGAGCUAGCGUUGUUCGGAAUUACUGGGCGUAAAGCGCACGUAGGCGGUUUUUCAAGUCAGGGGUGAAAGCCCGGAGCUCAACUCCGGAAUUGCCCUUGAAACUGGAUGACUAGAAUAUUGGAGAGGUCAGUGGAAUUCCGAGUGUAGAGGUGAAAUUCGUAGAUAUUCGGAAGAACACCAGUGGCGAAGGCGACUGACUGGACAAGGAUUGACGCUGAGGUGCGAAAGCGUGGGGAGCAAACAGGAUUAGAUACCCGUGUAGUC
rnacentral:rRNA from 1 species